CUGUGAGCUCGAUGAGUAGGGCGGGACACGUGGUAUCCUGUCUGAAUAUGGGGGGACCAUCCUCCAAGGCUAAAUACUCCUGACUGACCGAUAGUGAACCAGUACCGUGAGGGAAAGGCGAAAAGAACCCCGGCGAGGGGAGUGAAAAAGAACCUGAAACCGUGUACGUACAAGCAGUGGGAGCACGCUUCGGCGUGUGACUGCGUACCUUUUGUAUAAUGGGUCAGCGACUUAUAUUCUGUAGCAAGGUUAACCGAAUAGGGGAGCCGAAGGGAAACCGAGUCUUAACUGGGCGUUAAGUUGCAGGGUAUAGACCCGAAACCCGGUGAUCUAGCCAUGGGCAGGUUGAAGGUUGGGUAACACUAACUGGAGGACCGAACCGACUAAUGUUGAAAAAUUAGCGGAUGACUUGUGGCUGGGGGUGAAAGGCCAAUCAAACCGGGAGAUAGCUGGUUCUCCCCGAAAGCUAUUUAGGUAGCGCCUCGUGAAUUCAUCUCCGGGGGUAGAGCACUGUUUCGGCAAGGGGGUCAUCCCGACUUACCAACCCGAUGCAAACUGCGAAUACCGGAGAAUGUUAUCACGGGAGACACACGGCGGGUGCUAACGUCCGUCGUGAAGAGGGAAACAACCCAGACCGCCAGCUAAGGUCCCAAAGUCAUGGUUAAGUGGGAAACGAUGUGGGAAGGCCCAGACAGCCAGGAUGUUGGCUUAGAAGCAGCCAUCAUUUAAAGAAAGCGUAAUAGCUCACUGGUCGAGUCGGCCUGCGCGGAAGAUGUAACGGGGCUAAACCAUGCACCGAAGCUGCGGCAGCGACACUAUGUGUUGUUGGGUAGGGGAGCGUUCUGUAAGCCUGUGAAGGUGGCCUGUGAGGGUUGCUGGAGGUAUCAGAAGUGCGAAUGCUGACAUAAGUAACGAUAAAGCGGGUGAAAAGCCCGCUCGCCGGAAGACCAAGGGUUCCUGUCCAACGUUAAUCGGGGCAGGGUGAGUCGACCCCUAAGGCGAGGCCGAAAGGCGUAGUCGAUGGGAAACAGGUUAAUAUUCCUGUACUUGGUGUUACUGCGAAGGGGGGACGGAGAAGGCUAUGUUGGCCGGGCGACGGUUGUCCCGGUUUAAGCGUGUAGGCUGGUUUUCCAGGCAAAUCCGGAAAACUAAGGCUGAGGCGUGAUGACGAGGCACUACGGUGCUGAAGCAACAAAUGCCCUGCUUCCAGGAAAAGCCUCUAAGCAUCAGGUAACAUCAAAUCGUACCCCAAACCGACACAGGUGGUCAGGUAGAGAAUACCAAGGCGCUUGAGAGAACUCGGGUGAAGGAACUAGGCAAAAUGGUGCCGUAACUUCGGGAGAAGGCACGCUGAUAUGUAGGUGAAGUCCCUUGCGGGUGGAGCUGAAAUCAGUCGAAGAUACCAGCUGGCUGCAACUGUUUAUUAAAAACACAGCACUGUGCAAACACGAAAGUGGACGUAUACGGUGUGACGCCUGCCCGGUGCCGGAAGGUUAAUUGAUGGGGUUAGCGGUAACGCGAAGCUCUUGAUCGAAGCCCCGGUAAACGGCGGCCGUAACUAUAACGGUCCUAAGGUAGCGAAAUUCCUUGUCGGGUAAGUUCCGACCUGCACGAAUGGCGUAAUGAUGGCCAGGCUGUCUCCACCCGAGACUCAGUGAAAUUGAACUCGCUGUGAAGAUGCAGUGUACCCGCGGCAAGACGGAAAGACCCCGUGAACCUUUACUAUAGCUUGACACUGAACAUUGAGCCUUGAUGUGUAGGAUAGGUGGGAGGCUUUGAAGUGUGGACGCCAGUCUGCAUGGAGCCGACCUUGAAAUACCACCCUUUAAUGUUUGAUGUUCUAACGUUGACCCCUUAUCCGGGUUGCGGACAGUGUCUGGUGGGUAGUUUGACUGGGGCGGUCUCCUCCUAAAGAGUAACGGAGGAGCACGAAGGUUGGCUAAUCCUGGUCGGACAUCAGGAGGUUAGUGCAAUGGCAUAAGCCAGCUUGACUGCGAGCGUGACGGCGCGAGCAGGUGCGAAAGCAGGUCAUAGUGAUCCGGUGGUUCUGAAUGGAAGGGCCAUCGCUCAACGGAUAAAAGGUACUCCGGGGAUAACAGGCUGAUACCGCCCAAGAGUUCAUAUCGACGGCGGUGUUUGGCACCUCGAUGUCGGCUCAUCACAUCCUGGGGCUGAAGUAGGUCCCAAGGGUAUGGCUGUUCGCCAUUUAAAGUGGUACGCGAGCUGGGUUUAGAACGUCGUGAGACAGUUCGGUCCCUAUCUGCCGUGGGCGCUGGAGAACUGAGGGGGGCUGCUCCUAGUACGAGAGGACCGGAGUGGACGCAUCACUGGUGUUCGGGUUGUCAUGCCAAUGGCACUGCCCGGUAGCUAAAUGCGGAAGAGAUAAGUGCUGAAAGCAUCUAAGCACGAAACUUGCCCCGAGAUGAGUUCUCCCUGACUCCCUGAGAGUCCUGAAGGAACGUUGAAGACGACGACGUUGAUAGGCCGGGUGUGUAAGCGCAGCGAUGCGUUGAGCUAACCGGUACUAAUGAACCGUGAGGCUUAACCUU
rnacentral:rRNA from 1 species